UACGUAGGGGGCAAGCGUUGUCCGGAAUCAUUGGGCGUAAAGCGCGCGUAGGCGGCCCGGUAAGUCCGCUGUGAAAGCCCCGGGCUUAACCUGGGAAUGGCGGUUGAAACUACAGGACUAGAAUCUGGCAGAGGGGGGUGGAAUUCCACGUGUAGCAGUGAAAUGCGUAGAGAUGUGGAGGAACACCGAUGGCGAAGGCAGCCCCCUGGGCUGAGAUUGACGCUCAGGCACGAAAGCGUGGGGAGCAAACAGG
rnacentral:rRNA from 1 species